rnacentral:rRNA from 1 species
UAGGGAAUAUUGCACAAUGGGCGAAAGCCUGAUGCAGCAACGCCGCGUGCGCGAAGAAGGCCUUCGGGUCGUAAAGCGCUUUUCUGGGAGAUGAGGAAGGACAGUAUCCCAGGAAUAAGGCUCGGCUAACUACGUGCCAGCAGCCGCGGUAAAACGUAGGAGCCAAGCGUUAUCCGAAUUCACUGGGCGUAAAGCGCGUGCAGGCGGCCUGGUAAGUUGGAUGUGAAAUCUCCUGGCUCAACUAGGAGAGGCCGUUCAAUACUGUCAGGCUAGAGGGCGACAGAGGGAGGUGGAAUUCCGGGUGUAGUGGUGAAAUGCGUAGAUAUCCGGAGGAACACCAGAGGCGAAGGCGACCUCCUGGGUCGCACCUGACGCUCAGACGCGAAAGCUAGGGGAGCGAACG